rnacentral:lncRNA from 1 species
AUUAAAGCUUUAUCUUUUUUUGGUGCUUUUUUGACGAGCUGCUGUGACUCACAGUUUCAACAAAACGAAGUCGAAACGCCAAAAGAGAGUUCGUGCUCCAAGUUCAUUUGCAGCUCUCAAAAUGCGGUUAAAAUGGCUCCAAGAUGUCUAAGUAAAUAUAGCUGGCCAAAUUAGCAGCUGACAAAGCAAAAGCAGCAUUAAAACUUUUAAGCGCAACAAAAGACUGCUUCCUCAAACAAUUGAGACUAGACACAUUUGGUUAGUUCCUGUCACACAGAAAAGUCAACUUUCUCUUUAAAACUUAUGGGAUGUGUAUUUUUCUUUUAUGUUUCAACAAGGGACAACUUGAAAUUUCAAGAAGGCUGCCAAAGAAACUGAUUGCCGUGAAGCAAAAAGACGGUCGCGACAAGUCCAAGACGCGUCGACUGUUGCUAAAGGACCUGAUUUACGUUAUUUUUUCAAAACGACAAAUCGAACCAUGUGUGUUGAAAACACGAUUGAAGUUUACCAAAAGAAGCCGUGAACAGGAAAUUCUCGGUCAACUGCAAACACAGUUUACAGAGUCGAGGUGUAAAGACCACGCGGUCUUUUGUUGCGUACCUUUUGUCCGAAAACACUAAAACAAUAGCGCGCCGCCAACUAGAGGUACACGCUCCUUUCACGUUUUCGAUUACUCUUUAAUUUUGUUAUGAAAACAAAAUGCACGCGUCUUGUCGCGAACAAAUAUCUCAUUCACGCGGACAAAGCAGAAUUUACACUUUUCAAAGAUUAUUAUUUUGCACAAUUAGCGAGCUAAUUUCGCAGCAAUCACAUGAGGAAGUCAGUGGUGAAUUAUUCCCUAAUCAUGUCUGUAAAAUUUGCGCUGAUUUUCUUAGCAGAAGACAUUCUUAGUGAAAAAGUGAUCAAGAUUGCUGUCAACUUUGUAGGUAGUCCUAUAAAUGAGAACUUUGCAGCUGAUGUCAACAGAGAUCAAUUCGUUGUUCCUUUGAUAAAACGCUCUGAACUGCAAAGAUAAACUUCCCGAUUUACUUUACAAGCCCAGCCUUAAAUGGCUUCCUACAAGCGUAUUACGUUUCGUUAAUAAAUGUGUCAGUAAAGGCAUUGUUAUUCUCUUCCCCUACAAAAUCCUAAGUGAGCAAGUGUGGAAAUAAGUACACACUGUAAUUCCUUGCUAUGAAAACAAACAAACAAAAAGAAGAAGCGAUCUUGUGUUGACCAAGAAUGACUUUCGGACCGGCCAAUGAAAUUCCCUUCUCUUAGCCAUACAGAUCUCGACGUUUGCACAAGCACUGAGUAUCAAAAGGAGUUUGAAAUGUAGCCGACCAGUAACUUGGAAAGUACCAUAGUAAUUAGCCACCUCAUUUGCCCACACCGAUGACAACAAAAACACAAUUGUGAGCGACGAAAGAACAGAAAAAAUUUCGUUCAAUAAAGGCUGUUUGCAAAACUGAGCAAUCAAUUCAUCCUUUUAGAACGACACCAAAAAGUACUUUGUCUCUUGGCAUGGAAACAGAAAACUAACCACUGAUGAACGUGUUAUAGAAGAAUAUAGUGUAAAAGAACACGAAAAUAAACAUAACCUGAUAACAAUUGAA